GACAGAGGGUGCAAACGUUUGUUCGGAUUUACUGGGCGUAAAGCGCGUGUAGGCGGCUUUGCAAGUCGGAUGUGAAAGCCCACGGCUCAACCGUGGAAGUGCAUCCGAAACUGCAUGGCUUGAGUCUCGGAGAGGAAGGUGGAAUGCUUGGUGUAGAGGUGAAAUUCGUAGAUAUCAAGCAGAACACCUGCGGCGAAGGCGGCCUUCUGGACGAUGACUGACGCUGAGACGCGAAAGCGUGGGGAGCAAACAGG
rnacentral:rRNA from 1 species